rnacentral:lncRNA from 1 species
AAAUAUUGGAAAACAAGUUUUCAACUGAAAAUUUUUUUUCGGAGCACUUUUAUAUGGAACCAAACAGCCCCUUAGUGGAAAUCCACUGCCCGUAUCACUUUCGUUAUUUAUUUUGGUGUAAGUGAAAAAUAUAAUGUUACUCAAGUUACGUUAGAGCUCCACUUCACCUACUCUCGAUUUUCUCCUCUAAAGUGCCGAACUUGACUUCCACCACACUCAACUUCCUCUAAAAAAUUAAUUAAACAGUAAAACAUAAACUCUACUUCCUUUAUAAUGGGUUAAAAUUGCCUUAUUUAUAAUAAAUUAGGAUUACAUUUAAAUAAUAAUAAAAAAUUUAAUUAUAUAAUAGGUUAAAUUUUAUAGUUGUAAAUUUACUACUAUAUUUCGGAGAUAAUGGGAUCUACUUACUUACAUCAGAACAAACAACGGAACUCAAAAAACUAAUUUUACCAGUACCAAGUUACAUCCAAACAAACAAAAAAAAAAUUGAAUUUAACUUUCAGACUGUACGAGUUACGUCAAAAUAAACAACAAAAAAUUAAUCACACUUCAGAAAAACUCAAACACCACUACAUUUGACUUACGUUGAAUCUAUAGAUUCGUCAGUCCAAACGCCUCCUAAGUUGCAACAAAUGAAAAGAAGUCCAAAACUAUACAAUAUUU